GGAAGGCCGACGGGUCGUCAACUUCUUUUCUCGGAGAAGAAACAAUGACGGUAUCUGAGGAAUAAGCAUCGGCUAACUCUGUGCCAGCAGCCGCGGUAAGACAGAGGAUGCAAGCGUUAUCCGGAAUGAUUGGGCGUAAAGCGUCUGUAGGUGGCUUUUCAAGUCCGCCGUCAAAUCCCAGGGCUCAACCCUGGACAGCAGGCGGCGGCGGUGGAAACAACUACCACCAAGCUGGA
rnacentral:ncRNA from 1 species